CCUACGGGCGGCAGCAGUAGGGAAUCUUUCACAAUGGGCGAAAGCCUGAUGGAGCAACGCCGCGUGCAUGAUGAAGGCCUUCGGGUUGUAAACUGCUUUUAUAAGCGAGAAAUAUGAUGGUAACUUAUGAAUAAGGAUCGGCUAACUACGUGCCAGCAGCCGCGGUCAUACGUAGGAUCCGCGCAUUAUCCGGAGUGACUGGGUGUAAAGAGUUGCGUAGGUGGGAUAAUAAGUAGCUAGUGAAAUCUGGUGGCUCAACCAUUCAGACUAUUAGCUAAACUGUUAAGCUCGAGACCGUUAGGGGUAACUGGAAUUUCUAGUGUAGGAGUGAAAUCCGUAGAUAUUAGAAGGAACACCAAUAGCGUAGGCAGGUUACUGGGACGGUUCUGACACUAAGGCACGAAAGCGUAGGGAGCGAACGGGAUUAGAUACCCGGGUAGUG
rnacentral:rRNA from 1 species